rnacentral:rRNA from 1 species
GCGCGUGCUAUACAUGCAGUCGAGCGGACAGAUGGGAGCUUGCUCCCUGAUGUUAGCGGCGGACGGGUGAGUAACACGUGGGUAACCUGCCUGUAAGACUGGGAUAACUCCGGGAAACCGGGGCUAAUACCGGAUGGUUGUCUGAACCGCAUGGUUCAGACAUAAAAGGUGGCUUCGGCUACCACUUACAGAUGGACCCGCGGCGCAUUAGCUAGUUGGUGAGGUAACGGCUCACCAAGGCGACGAUGCGUAGCCGACCUGAGAGGGUGAUCGGCCACACUGGGACUGAGACACGGCCCAGACUCCUACGGGAGGCAGCAGUAGGGAAUCUUCCGCAAUGGACGAAAGUCUGACGGAGCAACGCCGCGUGAGUGAUGAAGGUUUUCGGAUCGUAAAGCUCUGUUGUUAGGGAAGAACAAGUGCCGUUCAAAUAGGGCGGCACCUUGACGGUACCUAACCAGAAAGCCACGGCUAACUACGUGCCAGCAGCCGCGGUAAUACGUAGGUGGCAAGCGUUGUCCGGAAUUAUUGGGCGUAAAGGGCUCGCAGGCGGUUUCUUAAGUCUGAUGUGAAAGCCCCCGGCUCAACCGGGGAGGGUCAUUGGAAACUGGGGAACUUGAGUGCAGAAGAGGAGAGUGGAAUUCCACGUGUAGCGGUGAAAUGCGUAGAGAUGUGGAGGAACACCAGUGGCGAAGGCGACUCUCUGGUCUGUAACUGACGCUGAGGAGCGAA